AGUGAACGCUGGCGGUAGGCCUAACACAUGCAAGUCGAACGGCAGCACAGUAAGAGCUUGCCCUUACGGGUGGCGAGUGGCGGACGGGUGAGGAAUACAUCGGAAUCUACUUUUUCGUGGGGGACAACGUGGGGAAACUUACGCUAAUACCGCAUACGAUCUACGGGUGAAAGCAGGAGAUCUUCGGACCUUGCGCGAUUCAAUGAGCCGAUGCCGGAUUAGCUAGUUGGGGGGGUAAAGGCCCACCAAGGCGACGAUCCGUAGCUGGUCUGAGAGGAUGAUCGGCCACACUGGAACUGAGACACGGUCCAGACUCCUACGGGAGGCAGCAGUGGGGAAUAUUGGACAAUGGGCGCAAGCCUGAUCCAGCCAUACCGCGUGGGUGAAGAAGGCCUUCGGGUUGUAAAGCCCUUUUGUUGGGAAAGAAAAGCAGCAGGUUAAUACCCCGCUGUUCUGACGGUACCCAAAGAGUAAGCACCGGCUAACUUCGUG
rnacentral:rRNA from 1 species